CAGCCGCCGCGGUAAUACAGAGGGUGCGAGCGUUAAUCGGAUUUACUGGGCGUAAAGCGUGCGUAGGCGGCUUUUUAAGUCGGAUGUGAAAUCCCUGAGCUUAACUUAGGAAUUGCAUUCGAUACUGGGAAGCUAGAGUAUGGGAGAGGAUGGUAGAAUUCCGGGUGUAGCGGUGAAAUGCGUAGAGAUCUGGAGGAAUACCGAUGGCGAAGGCAGCCAUCUGGCCUAAUACUGACGCUGAGGUACGAAAGCAUGGGGAGCAAACAGGAUUAGAUACCCCUGUAGUCCCUGUCUCUUAUAC
rnacentral:rRNA from 1 species